rnacentral:snRNA from 1 species
GGGUGUGAGGGGAGUCUGGCUGCCACAGCUGUCACCACAUUUUGUUUCCAGGAUUCAUUCAGCUGAUGGGGUGCUUAGGGACACGCUUUCCUCCCUCACUGUUCCAUGUGUGUCCCUUCUAAAGCUGCCUGUGUGGCUAAAGAGGACAGCCACCCCUGAUAGAGCAGGACUGUUUCCGUGGUCAGGGGUGUGCGAGGAGCUGUGCUUCCCUGCUAGAUCUCCAGACAAGCUCUCAGAAUGGUUAUCCUGUGAAGGACUUAGUCAGUGGCCAUAGGUACCUUCACUGAGUUGUGCAACCCACCACUGUGUGUUCCUCACAUU